rnacentral:rRNA from 1 species
CAACUCGACACAUGAAGCUGGAAUCGCUAGUAAUCGCGAAUCAGAAUGUCGCGGUGAAUACGUUCCCGGGUCUUGUACACACCGCCCGUCACACCAUGGGAGUUGGCAACGCCCGAAGUCAGUGACCCAACCUUAACAGGAGGGAGCUGCCGAAGGCGGGGCUGAUAACUGGGGUGAAGUCGUAACAAGGUACC